rnacentral:lncRNA from 1 species
CCAGGCUCUUCGAAUAGUUUGGAAAGUUCUCUGGUCAAAGACUACAUCCAUUACAAUGGAGACUUUAAUGCCAAAAGCAUUAAUGGGUGUGUGCCUAGUCCCUCCGAUGCUAAAAGCAUUAGUAGUGAAGACGACCUAAGGAAUCCAGACUCCCCCUCUUCUCAUGAGUUGAUACACUAUAGACCAAGGACGUUCAACGUUGGCGACUUGGUCUGGGGCCAAAUCAAAGGACUGACUUCCUGGCCUGGAAAAUUCAUAAGAGAAGACGACGUUCACAAUUCAUGCCAACAAAGCCCCGAGGAAGGGAAGGUAUACCAAUCUUUAUCCAUUGUCAAAUAUUAACCUCUGUUCAAAUAUCAAUUAUUCUUUUUUGUUAUCAUCACGUUGGAUUCUUUGGAUUUGAUUUUAAGAUUCUUCAUGACUCAUUGAGGUCUCACAAGCUUCUGGAGCAUAAAAUGAAGAGGGGAUGGUUAUAGUCACCAAAGUGUCAUAUUGCCAAGGGGUGGAGCCCGAGAAGUUGAAGACACUCACAGAAGGUUUAGAAGCCUACAGCCGAGUCCGGAAAAGGAGCAGAAAAAGUGGGAAGCUAAAUAACCAUUUAGAAGCUGCUAUUCACGAGGCCAUGAGCGAACUGGACAAAAUGUCUGGGACUGUUCACCAAAUCCCGCAGGGUGACAGACAAAUGAGGCCCCCCAAACCCAAGAGGAGGAAGAUCUCCAGAUAACAGAGAGUGUUCCACUGACACAGUGUUCAUCAAAGGAGCAUGCACAGACACACCUUAUGUAGGUAUUGAUACGGCCACUGUUAGAUCAAUCUGUAAACCAUGGCAGAUAGCUACCACCACCACAGGGCCCUAAAGGGAACAGCAGUGGAGACGUACGUUGGUCAGGAAG